ACCAGCAGCCAUAUCACCCUGAAACUCACAACUGGCAACCCACUGAAGCUCAGCAGGUGUGAGCCUGGUCAGUACCUGGAUGGGGGACCUCCUGGGAAAAACUAAGGUUGCUGCUGGAA
rnacentral:rRNA from 1 species